AGUGUCUCCUGAACCAUCAACUUCUUCUACUUCAAUGACUGCAGAGGCUGAAAAAUUGCUCAUGGAAAUAGGAUCAUGAGAUUUCAUCUCCUUGAGUCCUUGGAUCCUCCUGGCUUCUCAAGUUGUCAAAGGGGCUGAAUAACAAAGGGAGUUCUGUAUCAUGAGGGUUGAUGCAUUUCCCAACUUCCUUGCAGUUGGACCUCACAUGACUGAUUUCUGGAGAAAGGAAUGUGAGCAGAACUGUUGAGCGACACCAUAAAAACCUGCAACGUGCACUUUCUUGUAUUACUUCCACUUGCACGGACUUGAGAGCACAAGCAUGGAGAAAUUGGAAACUAUUCCUAGAAGAUGGUAGACCCAUAGUAUGUAAGAGUUCAGGAUUUCCAAUAGCUGCUUGGGGAACAGCCACCUUCCAUCAAUGAUAUCUGUGUUGGUCUUUGCAAGAGUGAUAAAUAAGUGAAUCUGAGCACAGAUUCACUUAUUUUAGCAGCUAAAAUUCCCUGAUGAAUGUAGUAUCUGUGUAACAUCGAAUAAAGUAUUCCACAUGUCUGAGACUCCAUUUUGUCAUAAAAAAUAAUCAUAUUAGUCCAUCUAGAAGGCAAUGAAGCAAUGAAAAUAAUACAUUUUGGAU
rnacentral:lncRNA from 10 species